rnacentral:rRNA from 1 species
AUACCCAGACGGUGCAGCAGCUGUCAAAGGUUCGCUUUGUUCAACGAUUAAAAUCCUACGUGAUCUGAGUUCAGACCGGAGUAAUCCAGGUCGGCCUCUAUCUACUGUAACGCCACCCCUAGUACGAAAGGACCGGUGUGGCGGGGCUAAUGCCAAAAGCACACCCCCAAAAAAUGCUGCACACAGCUAAAGCAUAUUAGUCUGAACACCCCAAAAUAAGGGCAGAGUAAUAAGCUCAU